GAUGAACGCUGGCGGCGUGCCUAAUACAUGCAAGUCGAGCGAACGGACGAGAAGCUUGCUUUUCUGAUGUUAGCGGCGGACGGGUGAGUAACACGUGGAUAACCUACCUAUAAGACUGGGAUAACUUCGGGAAACCGGAGCCAAUACCGGAUAAUAUUUUGAACCGCACGGUUCAAAAGUGAAAGACGGUCUUGCUGUCACUUAUAGAUGGAUCCGCGCUGCAUUAGCUAGUUGGUAAGGUAACGGCUUACCAAGGCAACGAUGCAUAGCCGACCUGAGAGGGUGAUCGGCCACACUGGAACUGAGACACGGUCCAGACUCCUACGGGAGGCAGCAGUAGGGAAUCUUCCGCAAUGGGCGAAAGCCUGACGGAGCAACGCCGCGUGAGUGAUGAAGGUCUUCGGAUCGUAAAACUCUGUUAUUAGGGAAGAACAUAUGUGUAAGUAACUGUGCACAUCUUGACGGUACCUAAUCAGAAAGCCACGGCUAACUACGUG
rnacentral:rRNA from 1 species